rnacentral:rRNA from 1 species
UACGAAGGGGGCUAGCGUUGUUCGGAAUUACUGGGCGUAAAGCGUGCGCAGGCGGUUUUGUAAGCCAGAUGUGAAAUCCCCGGGCUUAACCUGGGAAUGGCAUUUGGGACUGCAAGGCUCGAGUGCGGCAGAGGAGACUGGAAUUCCUGGUGUAGCAGUGAAAUGCGUAGAUAUCAAGUGGAACACCAGUGGCGAAGGCGAGUCCCUGGACAACUCCUGACACUGAGGCACGAAAGCUAGGGGAGCAAACAGG